GUGAGGAAUUUUCCGCAAUGGGCGAAAGCCUGACGGAGCAAUGCCGCGUGAAGGAUGAAGGCCUAUGGGUUGUAAACUUCUUUUCUUAGAGAAGAAUAUUGACGGUAUCUGAGGAAUAAGCAUCGGCUAACUCUGUGCCAGCAGCCGCGGUAAGACAGAGGAGGCAAGCGUUAUCCGGAAUGAUUGGGCGUAAAGCGUCUGUAGGUGGCUUCAAAAGUCUCCUGUCAAAGAUCAGGGCUUAACCCUGGGCCGGCAGGCGAAACUCUGAGGCUAGAGUUUGGUAGGGGCAGAGAGAAUUCCCGGUGGAGCGGUGAAAUGCGUAGAGAUCGGGAGGAACACCAAAGGCGAAAGCACUCUGCUGGGCCACAACUGACACUGAGAGACGAAAGCGAGGGGAGCAAAAGGGAUUAGAAACCCUGGUAGUCC
rnacentral:rRNA from 1 species